ACUGCACGAUGGACACAUUCAGAGGCCGAGAAGUCUGACACCAUGCCAUGCAUGGUAACAAAUGAAGCAUGAACACAACACCAUCUAAAGUUUCAUUUUGCAAGGUACAUAGAUCGUGACUGUUAAUAAGUCUUUGACCACACGGUGUUGUUACAUUGGUGAGUAUAAACUCAUGCUUCCUACGCUUUAAGAUGUUUUCUCAUUUCUCUCCCUCAUCAGGAUGGAGGACAAUGAAAAAUCACAGAAAUAUCAAAUAAAGGCAGACCAAUCAAUUAGUUAUAGUGUUUUUACUGAUAUCAAUGUUCCUUUAUUAAUUAUUAAGUGAUUCAAACUUGGUAACGAAAUUUAUACAAUUGAAUUGCCUACAAUGGGAAAUUGUGGUAGACACAAACCACAAUUGGGCUCACAAGUUUGGACAGCACUGUACAGCACAGUAUAGUUCAGGACAAUAAACUAGAGUUGAGUACACUAUAAUGUACUGCAUUGUGCUAUACUGUACUGAACUACACUUUACUGAACUCUGCUGUUCUGUAAUGUGCUCUACUGUACUCUGAGCUUUACUGUGCUCUACUUUGAUGUCCAAACUUGGUUCAGAUUUGGUCCGGUCUGGACCAACCAAAUUUGGUCUUGUUAGGAGGCAGAGCACAUUAAAAUAAUAGCCAGUGUGUAGAAUAUUGCAUAUUUCUACUUUUUGUGUACCUAUUUAGGAUACAUCACCAUGAAGAAGAGAAUGACACAUUCAUAGCCAUAAUUAUGCAUUUCUGUGUCGUACAGAUCAGGGACCCAUGAUGAAAUUCUGUUACUACAAUUCCAUUACGGGGCGUGUAAAUCCACUUCACUUAAAAUAGACUUUUCAAAGUCAAUUUGUCAUGUCAUAGCUGACACCCCAUUCCUUCUGCAGACAUUGUUGAAUCUAAAUUCGGAGCAGAUAUUUUGGAAAACGUGGACACAUUUUAAAAAAAAACAAUAAAAAAAAAGGAAUAAGGGGAGAGUUGCCUAACUGACAAAAACAUGGGGUUGGAAGAGAAUGAGUAUUGUGGGUAAGGAAACUAGAAGUAAAGAAGAGUGAAAGGGUUUUGAGAGUCAGACAGAGAGAAAGAUCCCCAGGAUUAUGGCAAUUGUAGCUCAGAAGAGAAGAGUGAAAUGAGAAGGCAGCUAUGUUGGAGACUGUGAGUGAGGAGGAGUGUGUAGCAGCAGGAGAGAGGGAAGAGAGAGGGGGAAGAAAGGGAGAAGGAUUGGGUUUCCUCUGACUGUGUCUGGGCAGCUCCACAUGUUCCACAUUAAGGUCCUAACACUGCAGGACCAACUAGGCCUACACACCGUGCUGCUUGUUUUGUUAUUAGGCCCAUGUGGUCGAGAAACCUAAACUUGGCCAGUGCUAUAGACCGUCUCCUCUCUCCUGAAAUCCUUUGCAAACUAUAGUGAACAAAAAUAUAAUCACAACAUGCAACAAUUUCAGUGAUUUUACUGAGUUACAGUUCAUAUAAAGAAAUCAGUCCAUUGAAAUAGAUGAAAACGCCUGAAUCUAACAAUUUCACAUUACUGGGCAGGGUCACAGCCUCGGAUGGGCCUGGGAGGCAUAAGCCCACCCAUUGGGGAGCCAGACCCACUGACUGGGAAACAAGGCCCGACCAAUCAGAAUGGGUUUUUCCACACAAAAGUGCUUUAUUACAGACAGAAAUACUCCUCAACACCCACCACCCCUCCCUCAAACGAUCCCACAGGUGAGGAAGCCGGAUGUGGAGGUCCUGGGCUAGCGUGGUUACACAUGGUCUGUGUUUGGGAGGCCGGUUGGACGUACUGACAAAUUCUUUAAAAUGACGUUGGAGGUGGCUUAUGGUAAAGGAAUGAACAUUCAAAUAUCUGGAAACAGCUAUGAUGGACAUUCCUGCAGUCAGCAUGCCAAUUCUCAAUACUUGAGACAGCUGUGUGAUUCUGUUGUGUGAAAAACUGCACAUUUUAGAGUAGCCUUUUAUUGUACCCAGCACAAGGUGCACCUUCUUGAUAUGCCACACCUGUCAGGUGGAUGAAUUAUCUUGGCAAAGGAGAUCUGCUCACAGGGAUGUAAACACAUUUGUGCAAAACAAUUAAGAGAAAUAUGUUUUUUGUGCGUAUGGAACAUUUGUAGAGUCUUUUAUUUCAGCUCAUGAAACAUGGGACCAACACUUUACAUGUUGUGGUUAUAUUUGUGUUCAGUAUAGUAUACACCCCUUGUUUAGAGCAAUCCUCUUCUAAAAGUUUAUGAUCUUAAAUAAACUGUGUUUUUUGUUUUAUUUCACACUAAUUUGUCCACUGAAAUCCAGAUGUAGCCUCCUGUGUUCUAUUUAUUAUUGUCAAAUAUUACACAAAAUACUUUGUUCUCCAUAUCCCCCUUCCCCGGCAAAUAUUGUAAUGUAAAUUGUUUGAGUGCCUUCCUUGUAUUUAUGUGAACCUGCAAGUAAACAUGUAAUGUGUUCACCAUGUGUUCCUGUGCAUAUGACAAAUAAACUUAACUUGAACUUGA